rnacentral:rRNA from 1 species
CAAGGUUUCCAGGUGAACCUGCGGAAGGAUCAUUA